CCCUUAGACGUUCUGGGCCGCACGCGCGCUACACUGACCAGUGCAACAAGCAUCCGUCCUUGGCCGACAGGCCCGGGCAAUCUUUGAACGCUGGUCGUGAUGGGGAUAGACUUUUGCAAUUUUUGGUCUUCAACGAGGAAUUCCUAGUAAACGCAAGUCACCAACUUGCAUUGAUUACGUCCCUGCCCUUUGUACACACCGCCCGUCGCACCUACCGAUUGAAUGGUCCGGUGAAGCCUCCGGAUUGGCGCGCACCUCGGUGCCGCCGAGAAGUUGGCUAAACCUUACCAUUUAGAGGAAGGUGAAGUCGUAACA
rnacentral:rRNA from 1 species